rfam:Hordeum vulgare subsp. vulgare, WGS project CAJW01000000 data, contig: morex_contig_599177
CUACGGACUUGAUUGUAUUGAGCCUUGGUAUGGAAACCUGCUAAGUGGUAACUUCCAAAUUCAGAGAAACCCUGGAAUAAAAAAAGGGCAAUCCUGAGCCAAAUCCGUGUUUUGAGAAGGGAUUCUCGAACUAGAAUACAAAGGAAAAGGAUAGGUGCAGAGACUCAAUGGAAGCUGUUCUAACGAAUCGAGUUAAUUACGUUGUGUUGUUAGUGGAAUUCCUUCUUCUUCUAAAUUAGGGAAAGAGGG